rnacentral:tRNA from 1 species
CGUAGCUCAGCUGGUAGAGCAAUUGACUCUUAAUCAAUGGGUCCAGGGUUCGAAUCCCUGC